rnacentral:tRNA from 1 species
AGCGGAAUAAGCUAAUUAAGCUGUCGGGCCCAUACCCCGGAUACGUAGGUUAAAGCCCUACUUCCGUUG